rnacentral:rRNA from 1 species
AGAGUUUGAUCCUGGCUCAGGACGAACGCUGGCGGCGUGCCUAACACAUGCAAGUCGAACGGGGUUAUUAAGAAUAGUUUACUAUUUUUAAUAACCUAGUGGCGAACGGGUGAGUAACGCGUGGGCAACCUACCCGCAAAUCUGGGAUAACUUCUCGAAAGGGGAGCUAAUACCGGAUGUGUUUAGGAAGUCGCAUGACUUUCUAAAUAAAGGUGGUGCAAGCUGCUGUUUGCGGAUGGGCCCGCGUCCCAUUAGCUAGUUGGUGAGAUAACAGCCCACCAAGGCGACGAUGGGUAGCCGGCCUGAGAGGGUGGCCGGCCACACUGGGACUGAGACACGGCCCAGACUCCUACGGGAGGCAGCAGUGGGGAAUAUUCCGCAAUGGGGGAAACCCUGACGGAGCAACGCCGCGUGAGCGAAGAAGGCCUUUGGGUUGUAAAGCUCUGUCUUCAGGGAAGAAACCUUAAGAGAGGAUAAUGCUCUUAAGCUGACGGUACCUGAGGAGGAAGCCCCGGCUAACUACGUGCCAGCAGCCGCGGUAAUACGUAGGGGGCGAGCGUUGUCCGGAAUUAUUGGGCGUAAAGCGGCGCGUAGGCGGUCAUUUAAGUCAGGCGUGAAAAACCUAGGCUCAACCAAGGUAUUGCGUUUGAAACUGGAUGACUUGAGGGCAGGAGAGGAUAGCGGAAUUCCUAGUGUAGCGGUGAAAUGCGUAGAGAUUAGGAGGAACACCAGUGGCGAAGGCGGCUAUCUGGCCUGUACCUGACGCUGAGGUGCGAAAGCUGGGGGAGCGAACGGGAUUAGAUACCCCGGUAGUCCCAGCCGUAAACGAUGGGCACUAGGUGUAGGAGGUAUCGACCCCUUCUGUGCCGUAGCUAACGCAAUAAGUGCCCCGCCUGGGGAGUACGGUCGCAAGACUGAAACUCAAAGGAAUUGACGGGGGCCCGCACAAGCGGUGGAGCAUGUGGUUUAAUUCGACGCAACGCGAAGAACCUUACCAGGGCUUGACAUCCCUCGCUAUUCUUGGAAACAAGGAGUUCCCUUCGGGGACGAGGAGACAGGUGGUGCAUGGUUGUCGUCAGCUCGUGUCGUGAGAUGUUGGGUUAAGUCCCGCAACGAGCGCAACCCUUAUCCUUAGUUGCCAUCAUUAAGUUGGGCACUCUAGGGAGACUGCCGGUGACAAACCGGAGGAAGGUGAGGAUGACGUCAAAUCAUCAUGCCCCUUAUGUCCUGGGCUACACACGUGCUACAAUGGCCUGUACAACGGGUAGCGAAGGCGCGAGCCGGAGCCAAUCCUAAGAAAGCAGGUCUCAGUUCGGAUUGCAGGCUGCAACUCGCCUGCAUGAAGUCGGAAUCGCUAGUAAUCGCGGAUCAGCAUGCCGCGGUGAAUACGUUCCCGGGCCUUGUACACACCGCCCGUCACACCACGAAAGUCGGCAACACCCGAAGCCGGUGAGUUAACCAGAAAUGGAGACAGCCGUCGAAGGUGGGGCCGAUGAUUGGGGUGAAGUCGUAACAAGGUAACC